CCUAGUGUUCCCUUAUUCGGCUUCUUUGGAAAUGGAGAAAUUGGAUGUGAUCGGAUAGUCACUGGGAACUUUAUAUUGAGGAAAUGUAAUGAGGUCUAAAUAGCUAACUAACUGGUAGACCAGAGUAUUACAUCAUCUUAUUUUGGUUUUAUACCAAUAAAACAUAGCGUGGAACUCAUUCAGUGAGCCAUCUUGGACCCUGAAGAGGAGGCAACACACCAUUGUAGAAGAAAAACAACAGAAGGAUCCUGGUCCCUGUACGACCUCAUUGAAGAAACACCAUAAGUGGCGUGGACUAUCUACCUCCAGACUGUUUUACAAGAGAGAAAUUAGCAUAUUCCAUCUAAUACAGUAUGAUGUAACUAAUGUUACUUUUGUAACAGUCAGUGGUUUGUUCUAACAGGACAGUAGAACACUUGCAAGGUAAGUAAAACCAAAUGUAUUAGCAUUAUUCCUGCUUUUCCUUUUUUGUCACUUUUAUCCUUUUUUUAAAACUGAAAAUAUUUUUCUCUUGCUAUUUAUAUAUAUAUGAUAAAAAUGCUUGGAAGAGUCCUUUAAUUUAUGGUUAUUCUAAAUCCUAGUUCCUGAGGCAAGUCCAAAGAAAAAUUUGUCAAAACUUUUCAUCUAUGAAUAUUUAUAUUUAGCUCUUGCUAUUUAGCUAUUAUCAAAAUACCUCAAAAUUUUAGUCCUUGAAUGUGCUCAUAUAGCCCAUAAGGCAAAUAUUUUUUAAACUUUAUUGUCCCUGAUAUUAACCAGAAUUGGUUGAAUAGUAGAGGAAAAGGGAUUUUUAAAACUGAAAAUAUGAACAAAAUGAGCCUUAGAAUUGAAUGGAUUAUUUUAAACAAAUUAAUACUCAUAUAAAAUGUUUUGCUGCUUCUCAAAGAGUCUGAUACAGGGUAAUUUCAUACAAUAUUUGAUGUUGUUAAAGCAUUCCUUUUUAUAGCUGAGCCUUUGGAGCUUGUUAUGAACAGUAAAAUCAUUUAGUCACAUGGUUGUAACCUUAGUGCAAAGUAAAAAGGGAAAAGUUGACCUAAUAGAAACAAUAGUAGUAUUGAUAAGAACAAAAGUCAUCCUCCCUGCCUCUCAGAGGCCCUGAAGUCCUGUGAGGAAGGGAAAUAGUAAUUUAACCAAAGUUAAAUCUGUGUAACUCAUUUAUUACAAUUUUGAAAGGCUUGUCUUAGAAGCAUUAAAGGAGUAUUAGCUAAAAACAAA
rnacentral:lncRNA from 1 species